AAAAAAUCUUGCUCAUUUCCCACCGGUUCAUGUUGGAUAAUAACAUAUGAGUUAUGACUGCACCAUCCGGGAUUCGUGAGCUUCCUCCCAAGCUAUGCUCUCCGUCUUUGCAUUUUAAGUUCAUCUUUCAUAAUUUCUCAUUUAAAUUACUUUUAUAGAGGUUAUGAGGAUAAAUAUCGACUUCAGUAUGCAUGUGUGU